GUAGGUGGGGUAACGGCUCACCUAGGCGACGAUCCCUAGCUGGUCUGAGAGGAUGACCAGCCACACUGGAACUGAGACACGGUCCAGACUCCUACGGGAGGCAGCAGUGGGGAAUAUUGCACAAUGGGCGCAAGCCUGAUGCAGCCAUGCCGCGUGUGUGAAGAAGGCCUUCGGGUUGUAAAGCACUUUCAGCGGGGAGGAAGGCGGUGAGGUUAAUAACCUCAUCGAUUGACGUUACCCGCAGAAGAAGCACCGGCUAACUCCGUGCCAGCAGCCGCGGUAAUACGGAGGGUGCAAGCGUUAAUCGGAAUUACUGGGCGUAAAGCGCACGCAGGCGGUCUGUCAAGUCGGAUGUGAAAUCCCCGGGCUCAACCUGGGAACUGCAUUCGAAACUGGCAGGCUAGAGUCUUGUAGAGGGGGGUAGAAUUCCAGGUGUAGCGGUGAAAUGCGUAGAGAUCUGGAGGAAUACCGGUGGCGAAGGCGGCCCCCUGGACAAAGACUGACGCUCAGGUGCGAAAGCGUGGGGAGCAAACAGGAUUAGAUACCCUGGUAGUCCACGCUGUAAACGAUGUCGAUUUGGAGGUUGUGCCCUUGAGGCGUGGCUUCCGGAGCUAACGCGUUAAAUCGACCGCCUGGGGAGUACGGCCGCAAGGUUAAAACUCAAAUGAAUUGACGGGGGCCCGCACAAGCGGUGGAGCAUGUGGUUUAAUUCGAUGCAACGCGAAGAACCUUACCUGGUCUUGACAUCCACAGAACUUUCCAGAGAUGGAUUGGUGCCUUCGGGAACUGUGAGACAGGUGCUGCAUGGCUGUCGUCAGCUCGUGUUGUGAAAUGUUGGGUUAAGUCCCGCAACGAGCGCAACCCUUAUCCUUUGUUGCCAGCGGUCCGGCCGGGAACUCAAAGGAGACUGCCAGUGAUAAACUGGAGGAAGGUGGGGAUGACGUCAAGUCAUCAUGGCCCUUACGACCAGGGCUACACACGUGCUACAAUGGCAUAUACAAAGAGAAGCGACCUCGCGAGAGCAAGCGGACCUCAUAAAGUAUGUCGUAGUCCGGAUUGGAGUCUGCAACUCGACUCCAUGAAGUCGGAAUCGCUAGUAAUCGUAGAUCAGAAUGCUACGGUGAAUACGUUCCCGGGCCUUGUACACACCGCCCGUCACACCAUGGGAGUGGGUUGCAAAAGAAGUAGGUAGCUUAACCUUCGGGAGGGCGCUUACCACUUUGUGAUUCAUGACUGGGGUGAAGUCGUAACAAGGUAACCGUAGGGGAACCUGCGGUUGGAUCACCUCCUUACCUUAAAGAA
rnacentral:rRNA from 1 species